GCAAGUCGAACGGCAGCAUAGGUGCUUGCACCUGAUGGCGAGUGGCGAACGGGUGAGUAAUGCAUCGGAACGUGCCCAACUGUGGGGGAUAGCUCGGCGAAAGCCGGAUUAAUACCGCAUACGAUCCACGGAUGAAAGCGGGGGACCUUCGGGCCUCGCGCAGUUGGAGCGGCCGAUGUUAGAUUAGGUAGUUGGUGGGGUAAAGGCUCACCAAGCCAACGAUCUAUAGCUGGUCUGAGAGGAUGAUC
rnacentral:rRNA from 1 species